CAGCAGCCGCGGGAAUACGUAGGGUGCGAGCGUUAAUCGGAAUUACUGGGCGUAAAGCGUGCGCAGGCGGUUUUGUAAGAUAGGCGUGAAAUCCCCGGGCUCAACCUGGGAAUGGCGCUUGUGACUGCAAAGCUAGAGUGUGGCAGAGGGGGAUGGAAUUCCGCGUGUAGCAGUGAAAUGCGUAGAUAUGCGGAGGAACACCGAUGGCGAAGGCAAUCCCCUGGGCCUGCACUGACGCUCAUGCACGAAAGCGGGGGGAGCAAACAGGAUUAGAUACCCGAGUAGUCCCUGUCUCUUAUAC
rnacentral:rRNA from 1 species